rnacentral:rRNA from 1 species
UACUGCUAUCGAGUUCGACUAAGCCAUGCGAGUCGAAUGUAGCAAUACAUGGCGUACUGCUCAGUAACACGUGACAACCUACCCUUAGGUCGGGGAUAAACCCGGGAAACUGGGUAUAAUACCCGAUAGAUCUCGACUGUUGGAAUGCAUCGAGAUCGAAAGCUCCGGCGCCUAAGGAUGGGUCUGCGGCCUAUCAGGUAGUAGUGGGUGUAGCGUACCUACUAGCCUACGACGGGUACGGGUUGUGAGAGCAAGAGCCCGGAGAUGGAUUCUGAGACACGAAUCCAGGCCCUACGGGGUGCAGCAGGCGCGAAAACUUUACAAUGCUGGAAACAGCGAUAAGGGGACCUCGAGUGCCAGGUUACAAAUCUGGCUGUCGUGAUGCCUAAAAAGCAUUGCAUAGCAAGGGCCGGGCAAGACCGGUGCCAGCCGCCGCGGUAACACCGGCGGCUCGAGUGGUAACCGUUAUUAUUGGGUCUAAAGGGUCUGUAGCCGGCCGGAUAAGUCUCUUGGGAAAUCCAGCAGCUCAACUGUUGGGCUUUCAGGAGAUACUGUCUGGCUCGAGGCCGGGAGAGGUGAGAGGUACUUCAGGGGUAGGGGUGAAAUCUUGUAAUCCUUGAAGGACCACCAGUGGCGAAGGCGUCUCACCAGAACGGACCUGACGGCAAGGGACGAAAGCUAGGGGCACGAACCGGAUUAGAUACCCGGGUAGUCCUAGCCGUAAACGAUACUCGCUAGGUGUCGGCCACGGUGCGACCGUUGUCGGUGCCGUAGGGAAGCCGUGAAGCGAGCCACCUGGGAAGUACGGCCGCAAGGCUGAAACUUAAAGGAAUUGGCGGGGGAGCACCACAACGGGUGGAGCUUGCGGUUUAAUUGGAUUCAACGCCGG